UCUACCAUUAUGUCAGGAGGACGGAUCCAAAUCACGUGACCCUUGGAUGGCUCCCUCACCCCGGCAGGCACCACCUUUAGCUCCCAGGGCUUUAACAGGGAAAGAACAGGUCGGGAAAGCACCUGACCCGUCAUCCCAAGAGCAUCACUGUGCCUUCUGGCCUCCCCGAAGGAUGACACUCUCCUAAUGGUGAUCUGGGUCAUUUCUGUUGCAUCCCAGAGUGCUGGGCCGGAAUGGCUGGCCUCAGAUUGGCCCUCUGAGAGGCCGAGAAAGAGAGCGGGAACAGGCUCAAGCUAAAGAAAUUCCUCCCUCUUCAAGCCCCGAGGUGAGGCCACUGAUUGUUCUUUUCUGUGCCACAGCGACCCAGUCAGGAGAGAACCACUGCAGAGGCUGCCCAGCAUUCCUCCAGGAAAGAGCAUCAGGAGGGAACUCUUCCCUCAGGCAGCGGGAGGGCCCUGCUCACCAGGAGCCAUGUGAGGACCCACCCAACAGGGGACUGUCAGCAACUGGGAAAUCAAGGUUCCCUGAGUCCCAGGAAAGAUGUCUUACCAGCAGCAGCAGUGCAAGCAGCCCUGCCAGCCACCUCCUGUGUGCAUACCCAAGUGCCCUGAGCCAUGUCCACCCCCUAAGUGCCCUGAGCCAUGUCCACCUCCUUGCCCACCUGUGGUGUGCCCACCUCCAGUAUGCCAGCAGAAAUGCCCACCCUGCCCAC